rnacentral:rRNA from 1 species
AUACGUAGGGGGCGAGCGUUGUCCGGAAUGAUUGGGCGUAAAGGGCGCGUAGGCGGCCCGGUAAGUCUGGAGUGAAAGUCCUGUUUUUAAGAUGGGAAUUGCUUUGGAUACUGUCGGGCUUGAGUGCAGGAGAGGUAAGUGGAAUUCCCAGUGUAGCGGUGAAAUGCGUAGAGAUUGGGAGGAACACCAGUGGCGAAGGCGACUUACUGGACUGUAAAUGACGCUGAGGCGCGAAAGUGUAGGGAGCAAACAGGAUGAGAUACCCUGGUAGUCCAAGCUGUAAACGGUGCAUGCUAGGUGUAAGAAGUAUCGACCCCUUUUGCGCUGGAGGCAACACAAUAAGCAUUCCGCCUGGGGAGUACGGCCGCAAGGUUGAUACUGAAACGAAUGGACGGGG